CCCGGGGGAAGCUGGAGCUCGCGGCCGCCACCCUGGGCGGCGCGGCCCCCUUCUGCCUCGUGGGGAAGGACCGGCCCGCCGCGAAGGGCGGGGAGCAGUUCCUGCCGCUCCACUUCUACAGGAAGGGCGGCGGCAGCAGCGGCAGCUUUGAGCCCGAGCUGAGGCUGAUGACGGGCGGGCUGCU
rnacentral:ribozyme from 1 species